GGAAGUGAAACAGCGCUUCUUCAGCUUCUCCCCGGGGAGCGGUUUGUCUUGGGCUUUCCAGAGGCACCUACGGAGGAACCGAUGAUCGCAGCACGUGAUUUCAGAGUCGCAGGAAGGGGCUCUGGUGCAUCGGAGGCUCACCCUGGGUGGCACGUUCUUCCUCGCUUCGCACUGGCCUGGAGUCACCAAGGAUGAGCUGCGGACUCUGAGCCCUGGUUCUAUCAUCUAAAAAAGCGAAUCACAAGCUCCGCUUCCUCGGCCACCACCACCGCCACCGGUUGGAAGAUCUCAACGCGACGUCUUUGAACACGGAGUUGAGAAUGGAUGCGCAGCAGGCCGCAGUUAUUAGUACUCCCGUCAUGCAGACGCAACCGAUUAGUUUCUCUAGAAGAAUGAAGGAGGAAGCCCUUUUGAAGUGGUCAGCAUUAAUGAUGUCAACUAAGUGACUUCCAUGGGCCAUUAGGCAGCCAGCCAGCGACAUUUAUGUCCUUGCUCCCAGCACGAUGUGGAAUAUAGGGGAAGGAGGAGCCAUUCUCUCCUGCUGGUCCCACGUUCAUUAAUAUAUUGUUAACUGCAGCUCCCAUCGGAGACAGACUUCUUCGAAAGAUUAAUGUUCUUUUCAACACGGAGGGAAAAAAGAGGGCAAAAAGCAAACCACCCAGGCCUUCCAAGAAAGAAGCCAAAGAAAGGUGUGCCUUGUACUCCUCCUUGCCCUCCUGCUCCUUCUAUUCCUGCCACUCUCUUCGAAAAAGGAUUUCUCCAUUUCUACAACAAAUAACAUUUGAUUGAAUUUCCUUUGUACCUGGAUCCUUUUGACAAUCCAAGGGCACUGGGGAAACUGAUGCCAUGCCAUCCCCAUUGCCUUUUGCACGAUGGAGAAAUAUUAGCCAACCUCCUCACCUCUUUCCUCGCCCUUGGCUCUCUGCUGAGCCUGUUCCUGCCAAGAUUGCAAGGCCUGGAGACCCUCUGGUCACAUCUCUGUCCUCAUCCUCUCCGCCAUCCCCCCAGCCCCUGGAGCCUCUGAUGGUUCCCUCCUUCCUGAAAAGCUCCACUCCUUAGGCUUCCUUGUCAGUGAAUAUUCAUUCCUCCUUUCUCUUGCAUUUUUAGCAAAUUCUCUCACCUUUGUGAAUUGCUCUUUUCUCUGCCCUUUAUUUCUUUGGAUUUUUUUUUGUGUGUGUUGUCUUCCUUCCUUCCUUCCUUCCUUCCUUCCUUCCUUCCUUCCUUCCUUCCUUCCUUCCU